rnacentral:rRNA from 2 species
UACGAGAGGCCCAAACAUUAUUCGGAAUUACUGGGCUUAAAGAGUUCGUAGGCGGCAUGGUAAGUAGGGUGUGAAAUCCCUCGGCUCAACCGAGGAAUUGCGCUCUAAACUACCGUGCUCGAGGAAGCUAGAGGUGAGCGGAACUGAUGGUGGAGCGGUGAAAUGCGUUGAUAUCAUCAGGAACACCGGAGGCGAAGGCGGCUCACUGGGGCUUUUCUGACGCUGAGGAACGAAAGCCAGGGUAGCGAACGGG